GGCCGUCCAUGAUUGGUGCAAGGGCCAAGAUUUAAUGGGACUUAUGGAACCCCAUGGUUUAGGGUUUAGGGUGUGAUGGAGCAAAUCCAAGUGCCAUAAGGAGUAGGAGUUAUCAAGCCUGUGGUCUAUAUAAGAUGGGGGUUGGGGACCGGCCGAGAGCACUAAACAUGGUUAGAGGUGAAGUAAUUCAGGUGGAGAGUUCACGGCAAAAGUGGUA
rnacentral:lncRNA from 1 species